rnacentral:misc_RNA from 1 species
GAUGAAGAAGGCAGCGAAAUGCGAUAAGUAAUGUGAAUUGCAGAAUUCAGUGAAUCAUCGAAUCUUUGAACGCACAUUGCGCCCCCUGGUAUUCCGGGGGGCAUGCCUGUCCGAGCGUCAUUACAACCCUCAAGCUCAGCUUGGUGUUGGGCCCCGCCGCCCCGGCGGGCCCUAAAGUCAGUGGCGGUGCCGUCCGGCUCCGAGCGUAGUAAUUCUUCUCGCUCUGGAGGUCCGGUCGUGUGCUCGCCAGCAACCCCCAAUUUUUUUCAGGUUGACCUCGGAUCAGGUAGGGAUACCCGCUGAACUUAAGCAUAUCAAUAAGCGGAGGA